UGGCGCUGGCCCCGCCCCCAACGAGAGGGGGGGUGGCACGGAACGUGGUUCACCUGCUGGCAGCGGGGGGGGCCCCUCACCUGCCCGGGCCCCUGGCCCAGGUGACCCUGCUGGCCCCCGUGGGGGGAGGGGCGGCCACGCCCACCCAGAAUCAACCCGGCCUGGGGCUGCCCCUGGGCACAGUCCCCGCCCCCCUGGUGAACUCCGGGGGGGGUCUGGUGAAAAUCCUGGUGCGCCAGAACCCCCCCCCUGCCCCUCCCCC